UAGAAAGGUGGUUUUAUUUGUUUUAAAUCUUUUUUGGCAGAAAUAAUAUAUUGAGUAUUAAUAAGGUUAAUGUGUUAAUUAAUCACAUAGUUUUUAUGAUAUUAAAACACAAUCAGAAAAAAAUUUUUUAUAAAUCAUUAUGAUUUAAGCUUUGUGAUUAAAGAAUUCAAUCAAUUUUGUGCCAGCAGUUGCGGUUAAACAAAAGAAUUCAUUAAUAUUUUUGUAAUGUUAAAUUAUAUUCAUUCAAUAGGAUAUUAAUUUUUAAAUAAUGGUGGAAUAUAUUUAAAAAAGUAUAAAAAUAUUUUAAUUAAAAUUUAAGUUGAAACUAGGAUUAGAUACCCUAUUAUAUAAAUAUGAUAUCGUUAGUAGUAAUAAAUGAAAUCGAAUUAUGAUGGCGGCGUAUAAACAUAUUAGAGGAAUUUGUACAUUAAAGGAUAAUACGCCAAUAUCUUACUUGAAUUUAUGGUUUAUAUAUCGCUAUUUAUAUUUUGUAUUGAUACAAAAUAAAUAAUUCUUAUUAUAGAAGUAUUUUAAGUCAAGAUAUAGCUUAUAUUUAAGGUUGUUAUGAAUUAUAUUAAUUUUAAUUUAACUAUAGGUGUUUAGAAAGAAACAUUUAAAGAAAGAUUUAAUAGUAAUAUUAUUAAUUUAUAGUAUGAAUAUAUGCUCUUGUACGUGUACAAAUUGCCCGUCGCUUUCAUUAUAAGUGAAAUAAGUCGUAACAAAGUAAAGAUACCGGAAGGUGUUUUUAA
rnacentral:ncRNA from 1 species